ensembl:snoRNA
UGCGUGACAUGUAUGUUUUUGUUUAACUUGUAUACAAAGGCUUAUGGAUAGGUGCAAAAAUAAAUUCUCUUUUGCAACCCAGAACUCAUUGUUCAGUGUGAGUUUUGAUACAUAUAAGAAGGGAUAUU